UACGUAGGUGGCAAGCGAUACUCGGAAUCACUAGGCGUAAAGCGCACGUAGGCGGCUUUGUAAGUUAGAGGUGAAAGCCCGGAGCUUAACUCCGGAGGGUCGGUGGAUACUGCCAGUCUUGAAGGUGCUAGGGGGAGAUGGAAUUACCGGUGUAGCGGUGAAAUGCGUAGAUAUCGGUAGGAACACCAGUGGCGAAGGCGGUCUCCUGGGGCAUUCUUGACGCUGAGGCGCGAAAGCUGGGGGAGCGAACGGG
rnacentral:rRNA from 1 species